rnacentral:misc_RNA from 1 species
GUGAGUCAUCGAAUCUUUGAACGCACAUUGCGCCCCUUGGUAUUCCGAGGGGCAUGCCCGUUCGAGCGUCAUUAUAACCCCUCAAGCCUAGCUUGGUGUUGGGGCCUGCUGUUACGGCAGCCCUUAAAAUCAGUGGCGGUGCCAUCUGGCUCUAAGCGUAGUAAUACUUCUCGCUACAGGGUCCUGGUGGAUGCUUGCCAUCAACCCCUAAUUUUCUAUGGUUGACCUCGGAUCGGGUAGGGAUACCCGCUGAACUUAAGCAUAUCAAUAAGCGGAGGA